ACUCAAAUGAAUUGACGGGGACUUGCACAAGCGGUGGAUUAUGUGGUUUAAUUCGAUGGUACACGAAAAACCUUACCAGGGCUAGAUACUCUAUGGAAAGGCUUAGGAAACUAGGCAACUCCGCAAGGACCGUAGGGCAGGUGAUGCAUGGCCGUCGUCAGUUCGUGGUUUGAACUGUUCCCUUAAGUGGGGUAACGAACGCAACCCUUGUCGUCUGUUACAAGUGUCAGGCGAGACUGCCCAGCCCUUUGCGCACGAUCAACUCAUAUUGAGAGUCGUGAUCGCGAAUAAGGGGCUGGGAGGAAGGCGGGGAUGACGCCAGGUCAGCAUGUCCCUAGAUGCCCUGGGCUACACACAUAAUACAAUGGGGAGUACAACGGGCUGCGACAUCGCAAGAUUGAGCCAAUCCUAAAAAACUCCCCCCAGUUCGGAUUGGGGUCUGCAACUCGACCCCAUGAAGCCGGAAUCGCUAGUAAUCGCGGGUCAGCCAUACCGCGGUGAAUACGUUCUCAAGUCUUGUACACACCGCCCGU
rnacentral:rRNA from 1 species